GGUUUUUUUUUUUUUUAAAUUUAUACCUUACAGACCUGGAAUUUAAGGAACUACCCCAUUGGGUGCUCAGCCAAAUGGCCAGCUAUUCCAAUGCUGAGCCGCAGUUUUAAGUUGUUUUCAAGGAUGUUUUGACUUUGUGGGUUUUCACUUUAAAUGUUUUCAGAGAUGACUACAGACACUAACAGUGAGACCAGAUUCUUUGAUCCUGCAACAGGAGUUACAGCAGCAGGUGCCAUCAUAGAGUGGGAGUUCCUGAGCAGUAGGGCACAUUUCCCAGAGGGGACGGAGGGGAGGAGAAGAAAGGGUAGAGACAGUGGGGAAGUAGACUUGAUAGGAAGAUGUGGGGGAUCAAGGGGGACCUCUGAAGUUUCAACUUGGUCAGCCAAGCGUCUGGUGAACCAUUCAGAUGAGGAGCCACUGGCAGAGCCACUGGGCGGUCUGGUGCCUGCCAGUGCCCACGUCAGCAACCCACACAGAGAGGAAAGGCAGGGGCUGCAAAGCAGACUUGGAAGUUACUGGUGAUUGAGGACAUAGGAACCACACACACACACACACCAGAGGGAAGAAGGCCAGAUAUGGGGUGUGCAUGGAGAGAACCUUCCAAGCCAUCCAAGAAGGAGCAGUGAAAGAAAGCAGAAAAUAGCAGAGUGCAGGAAAAG
rnacentral:lncRNA from 1 species